AUGCACCCUAGAACCCACCUCCGCCCGGCAGCAGGUCUCUCUCUAGCAGAAAGAGGUGGUAGCCCCACUGCCCCUCCAGAACCCUGGGCAGGAGCACCUCCAGUGCCUCCUCUCUUCCUCCUCCCCCCGCCUCCUCAGAGGAAGAGCUGGGCACGUAGGACACAAAGGCAUCAUAUUCCUUGUCAUCUACAGAGUCAAUACAGGGAAGGAGACAGAAGAGACAUUCAUCUACAGAGUCAAUACAGGGAAGGAGACAGAAGAGACAUUCAUCUACAGGGUCAAUACAGGGAAGGAGACAUUCAUCUACAGGGUCAAUACAGGGAAGGAGACAGAAGAGACAUUCAUCUACAGGGUCAAUACAGGGAAGGAGACAGAAGAGACAUUCAUCUACAGAGUCAAUACAGGGAAGGAGACAGAAGAGACAUUCAUCUACAGGGUCAAUACAGGGAAGGAGACAGAAGAGACAUUCAUCUACAGGGUCAAUACAGGGAAGGAGACAUUCAUCUACAGAGUCAAUACAGGGAAGGAGACAGAAGAGACAUUCAUCUACAGAGUCAAUACAGGGAAGGAGACAUUCAUCUACAGAGUCAAUACAGGGAAGGAGACAGAAGAGACAUUCAUCUACAGGGUCAAUACAGGGAAGGAGACAUUCAUCUACAGAGUCAAUACAGGGAAGAAGACAGAAGAGACAUUCAUCUACAGGGUCAAUACAGGGAAGGAGACAUUCAUCUACAGAGUCAAUACAGGGAAGAAGACAGAAGAGACAUUCAUCUACAGGGUCAAUACAGGGAAGGAGACAUUCAUCUACAGAGUCAAUACAGGGAAGGAGACAGAAGAGACAUUCAUCUACAGAGUCAAUACAGGGAAGGAGACAUUCAUCUACAGAGUCAAUACAGGGAAGGAGACAGAAGAGACAUUCAUCUACAGGGUCAAUACAGGGAAGGAGACAUUCAUCUACAGAGUCAAUACAGGGAAGAAGACAGAAGAGACAUUCAUCUACAGGGUCAAUACAGGGAAGGAGACAGAAGAGACAUUCAUCUACAGAGUCAAUACAGGGAAGGAGACAGAAGAGACAUUCAUCUACAGGGUCAAUACAGGGAAGGAGACAGAAGAGACAUUCAUCUACAGAGUCAAUACAGGGAAGGAGACAGAAGAGACAUUCAUCUACAGGGUCAAUACAGGGAAGGAGACAGAAGAGACAUUCAUCUACAGAGUCAAUACAGGGAAGGAGACAUUCAUCUACAGGGUCAAUACAGGGAAGGAGACAGAAGAGACAUUCAGGUUACAGGGUCAAUACAGGGAAGGAGACAUUCAUCUACAGAGUCAAUACAGGGAAGGAGACAGAAGAGACAUUCAGGUUACAGGGUCAAUACAGGGAAGGAGACAUUCAUCUACAGAGUCAAUACAGGGAAGGAGACAGAAGAGACAUUCAUCUACAGAGUCAAUACAGGGAAGGAGACAGAAGAGACAUUCAUCUACAGGGUCAAUACAGGGAAGGAGACAUUAAUCUACAGAGUCAAUACAGGGAAGGAGACAGAAGAGACAUUCAGGUUACAUGGUCAAUACAGUGUAUUGAUGAAUCAUUGA
ensembl:lncRNA